GGAUGUAGCUCAGUGGUAGAGAGCUUGCCUUGCAUGCACAAGGCCCUGGGUUCAAUUCCUAGCACCA
rnacentral:tRNA from 1 species